rnacentral:rRNA from 1 species
GACGAACGCUGGCGGCGUGCUUAACACAUGCAAGUCGAGCGGCGCGGCGAACGGGUGAGUAACGCGUGAGUAACUGCCCCCCUCUCUGGGAUAACAGUUGGAAAGGGCAGCUAAUACAGGAAAGUGGGGGAUGACUCGCGUCCUAUCAGCUUGUGGGUGGGCUGGUGGCCUACCAAGGCGACGACGGGGAGCCGGCCUGGGAGGGCGACCGGCCACAGUGGGCUGAGAUACGGCCCAGGCGCAUACGGGGGGCAGCGGUGGGGAAUAUUGCACAAUGGGGGAGACCGUGAUGCAGCAGCGCCGCGGGCGGGAGGACGGGCUGCGCGUUGUGAACCGCUUUCAGCCAUGACGCGGUAGUGGCAGAAGAAGCACCGGCUAACUACGUGCCAGCAGCCGCGGUAAUUC